AGGUGGUAUCUCAUCCUUUGGGAGCCCAGCCCAGGCUUCUGUACUUGGUAGUCAAGGUUCCCAGUAGCAAGAGAGCGCUUUCAAAGCCUCUGCUGUGUCAUAUUUGCUAAUGUUUCUUUUUUUUUUCUUUUCUUUUUUGCAAGCCUUUGAUAAUGUUUCAUUAUCCAAAGCCAAGUCACAUAGCCAAGUCACAUAGCCAAGUCACAUAGCCAAGCCCAGAUUCAAGGAUUGAAGAAAUAGACUAUACUUCUUUUUGGAAAGAGGGAUUAAGUCACAUUACAAUGGGGCUGAUAGUGAGAUGAUCCAUGUCGGUGCUUAACAGGGCCCAGAGGAAGAUAAGCCAUCAAUUCUUUUGGCUUCCUUUUAAGCCCCAUAAAACAAUUGCUUCAGAUAUUAUACACUGUAUUAACAAUGAUAAUCAGUUUUAUGCAUGCUCA